CUUCGUGGUGGUGCUAAGAAGAGAAAGAAGAAGUCUUACACUACCCCCAAGAAGAACAAGCAUAAGAGAAAGAAGGUUAAGCUUGCUGUCCUUAAAUAUUACAAGGUGGAUGAGAAUGGUAAAAUCAGUCGCCUGCGCCGAGAGUGCCCCUCUGAGGAAUGCGGGGCUGGAGUUUUUAUGGCCAGUCACUUUGACAGACAUUACUGUGGCAAGUGCUGCCUGACAUACUGCUUCAACAAACCAGAAGACAAGUAAAUGUAUCUGUGUUAAUAAAAAAAAAAAACCAGCCCUCA